rnacentral:rRNA from 1 species
UACGUAGGGUGCAAGCGUUAAUCGGAAUUACUGGGCGUAAAGCGUGCGCAGGCGGUUGUGCAAGACAGGUGUGAAAUCCCCGGGCUUAACCUGGGAACUGCACUUGUGACUGCACAGCUGGAGUACGGCAGAGGGGGAUGGAAUUCCGCGUGUAGCAGUGAAAUGCGUAGAUAUGCGGAGGAACACCGAUGGCGAAGGCAGUCCCUGGGAUGAUACUGACGCUCAUACACGAAAGCGUGGG